ANUGCAGUCGAACGAACUUCCGUUAAUUGAUUAUGACGUACUUGUACUGAUUGAGAUUUUAACACGAAGUGAGUGGCGAACGGGUGAGUAACACGUGGGUAACCUGCCCAGAAGUAGGGGAUAACACCUGGAAACAGAUGCUAAUACCGUAUAACAGAGAAAACCGCAUGGUUUUCUUUUAAAAGAUGGCUCUGCUAUCACUUCUGGAUGGACCCGCGGCGUAUUAGCUAGUUGGUGAGGUAAAGGCUCACCAAGGCAGUGAUACGUAGCCGACCUGAGAGGGUAAUCGGCCACAUUGGGACUGAGACACGGCCCAGACUCCUACGGGAGGCAGCAGUAGGGAAUCUUCCACAAUGGACGCAAGUCUGAUGGAGCAACGCCGCGUGAGUGAAGAAGGGUUUCGGCUCGUAAAGCUCUGUUGUUAAAGAAGAACGUGGGUAAGAGUAACUGUUUACCCAGUGACGGUAUUUAACCAGAAAGCCACGGCUAACUACGUGCCAGCAGCCGCGGUAAUACGUAGGUGGCAAGCGUUAUCCGGAUUUAUUGGGCGUAAAGCGAGCGCAGGCGGUCUUUUAAGUCUAAUGUGAAAGCCUUCGGCUCAACCGAAGAAGUGCAUUGGAAACUGGGAGACUUGAGUGCAGAAGAGGACAGUGGAACUCCAUGUGUAGCGGUGAAAUGCGUAGAUAUAUGGAAGAACACCAGUGGCGAAGGCGGCUGUCUGGUCUGCAACUGACGCUGAGGCUCGAAAGCAUGGGUAGCGAACAGGAUUAGAUACCCUGGUAGUCCAUGCCGUAAACGAUGAUUACUAAGUGUUGGAGGGUUUCCGCCCUUCAGUGCUGCAGCUAACGCAUUAAGUAAUCCGCCUGGGGAGUACGACCGCAAGGUUGAAACUCAAAAGAAUUGACGGGGGCCCGCACAAGCGGUGGAGCAUGUGGUUUAAUUCGAAGCUACGCGAAGAACCUUACCAGGUCUUGACAUCUUCUGACAGUCUAAGAGAUUAGAGGUUCCCUUCGGGGACAGAAUGACAGGUGGUGCAUGGUUGUCGUCAGCUCGUGUCSUGAGAUGUUGGGUUAAGUCCCGCAACGAACGCAACCCUUAUUACUAGUUGCCAGCAUUAAGUUGGGCACUCUAUUGAGACUGCCGGUGACAAACCGGAGGAAGGUGGGGAUA
rnacentral:rRNA from 1 species